UUCUGCUCUCAGCCUCUCUCAGACAUUCCAAUCUCUCUCUCUGUUCUUCCUACUCUCUCCAUAUUCACCAUGACCGAUUUACCUGGAUCGACUGAAUCGGAAGGACUAGAUCCCGAUCCCCCUAUCAGAUUUAACUCUGGUCUAUCUAACCCAACUUUUAUUUUCGAAUUAGGGAUUGUGAUUUGUGAUGCGAUUGUGGUUUUUCUUUGCAUUAAGGUAUCGAAGACGUUUGAGCACGACAAGGAGCCUGUGAAUCACCUCGUGGUGAAAGAAGCCAUCGACCAUGGAGAAGCUCCAACGACAAAACAAUCAGGCUGAUUCGAUGCUAAAGGAGGAGGUUCAGUAUCUUUGUGUUGCAAUGGGACAUGACGAUAAAUCCCUCGAUGAAUUUGUUGAAAUACAAAAGACAUGCGUGAAUGAUUUCAUGUUUUUUUUUCUUAGCACAAUGCUUAUGGUGCAUCAAGUAUUGCUGGAAAUGAAAAGAAACUUAGGGCUCUGCAGAAUGAGUUUGAGAAUGUAAGGAAGAAGUUGGAUGAUGAUCUUGGGAAGGCAGCGAGCCUUGAAGAAAAGGUCAAGGUCUGAACACAUGGUUAUGAGGUACAUUACUCAAUCCAAUCAUGCUUCCCAAAUAUUCUCUUAUUAAUUGGCAAUGGGGGCUGUAGUGGAGUUAUACCUGACCUAGAUCCUGGAAUACUAGUGGAGGAAAGAGGUGUUCAUUUGGAGGUACAAGCAAUGAGAGAACAACAUGAGGCUGAUAUUGAAACGAUUUGAAGGAGAGCCAAGAACAGGAAGAUAAACCUAGGGAGGAAAUGAAGAAACAAACUCUGGCCACAACAGUUUAGCUUCAUAGGCAAGUAUCAUUAUUUAGGUUCUGUCUCCUAAUUACUUAGGUAUCAUAUUAUCUGGGAUUGCUUUAAUGUAAUAUGAAGUAUUGAAUGAUGUAAUGUUUUAAUCCUUCAGUCCAAUAGCAUUAAAAAUUUCUUUA